CCUUUCUUUCCCUUACAGCACACUGGUGGGAGUCUGGUGUGUCUCAGGAAGCUGCUGCUGCAACUUCAGCAGCAGUGUCUAGCAGAAAGGGAGGAAGUGUAUCUGUAGAUCAGCUGGGCUAUCGCUCUUUCCUUCUCCAUGCUGAAGUGAUGGAUGAAAAACACACUUCAGAUAACAUUCUACAGGCAGUAAGGAGGAUGGUGUCUCUUUGGGUUGGAGCGGAGGCAGGCACCAAUGUAGAAGUGGG
rnacentral:lncRNA from 1 species